rnacentral:rRNA from 1 species
AGGGAAUUUUCGGCAAUGGGGGGAACCCUGACCGAGCAAUGCCGCGUGAACGAUGAAGAUCUUCGGAUUGUAAAGUUCUGUUAUUAGGAAAGAACAGCAUAACUAGGAAAUGAGUUAUGUUUGACGGUACUUAAUGAGAAAGCCCCGGCUAACUAUGUGCCAGCAGCCGCGGUAAUACAUAGGGGGCAAGCGUUAUCCGGAAUUAUUGGGCGUAAAGCGUGCGUAGGCGGCUUAUUAAGUCUGACGUGAAAUUCCACAGCUUAACUGUGGAGGGUCGUUGGAAACUGGUAGGCUUGAGUACAGUAGAGGUAAGUGGAAUUCCAAGUGGAGCGGUGGAAUGCGUAGAUAUUUGGAGGAACACCAGUGGCGAAGGCGGCUUACUGGGCUGGAACUGACGCUGAUGCACGAAAGCGUGGGGAGCAAAC